rnacentral:rRNA from 1 species
GUGACCUCAAAUCAGGUAGGACUACCCGCUGAACUUAAGCAUAUCAAUAAGCGGAGGAAAAGAAACUAACAAGGAUUCCCCCAGUAACUGCGAGUGAAGCGGGAAAAGCUCAAAUUUAAAAUCUGGCAGCCUUUGGUUGUCCGAGUUGUAAUCUAGAGAAGUGUUAUCCGCGCUGGACCGUGUACAAGUCUCCUGGAAUG